AACGAACGCUGGCGGCAGGCCUAACACAUGCAAGUCGAGCGCCCGCAAGGGAGCGGCGGACGGGUGAGUAACGCGUGGGAACGUGCCCUUUGCUACGGAAUAGCCUCGGGAAACUGAGAGUAAUACCGUAUGUGCCCUUCGGGGGAAAGAUUUAUCGGCAAAGGAUCGGCCCGCGUUGGAUUAGGUAGUUGGUGGGGUAAUGGCCUACCAAGCCGACGAUCCAUAGCUGGUUUGAGAGGAUGAUCAGCCACACUGGGACUGAGACACGGCCCAGACUCCUACGGGAGGCAGCAGUGGGGAAUCUUAGACAAUGGGCGCAAGCCUGAUCUAGCCAUGCCGUGUGAUCGAUGAAGGCCUUAGGGUUGUAAAGAUCUUUCAGUGGGGAAGAUAAUGACUGUAUCCACAGAAGAAGCCCCGGCUAACUCCGUGCCAGCCGCCGCCGUAA
rnacentral:rRNA from 1 species